CCUGCAUGAAGUCGGAAUUGCUAGUAAUCGCGGAUCAGCAUGCCGCGGUGAAUACGUUCCCGGGCCUUGUACACACCGCCCGUCACACCAUGGGAGCCGGUAAUACCCGAAGUCAGUAGUCCAACCUCGUGAGGACGCUGCCGAAGGUAGGAUUGGCGACUGGGGUGAAGUCGUAACAAGGUAGC
rnacentral:rRNA from 1 species